rnacentral:rRNA from 1 species
GAAUUCGAUUCAGGCCUAACACAUGCAAGUCGAACGAAGGCUUCGGCCUUAGUGGCGCACGGGUGCGUAACGCGUGGGAAUCUGCCCCUAGGUACGGAAUAACAGCGAGAAAUUGCUGCUAAUACCGUAUGAUGACGUAAGUCCAAAGAUUUAUCGCCUAGGGAUGAGCCCGCGUAGGAUUAGCUUGUUGGUGAGGUAAAAGCUCACCAAGGCGACGAUCCUUAGCUGGUCUGAGAGGAUGAUCAGCCACACUGGGACUGAGACACGGCCCAGACUCCUACGGGAGGCAGCAGUGGGGAAUAUUGGACAGGGGGCGAAAGCCUGAUCCAGCAAUGCCGCGUGAGUGAAGGGGGCCUUAGGGUUGUAAAGCUCUUUACCCGGGAAGAUAAUGA